CCCUACUAUGCUUAAGCCAUAAAUUAGACAGCACAUCACACUGUCCGCCAGAGGACUACAAGCAACAGCUUAAAACUCAAAGGACUUGACGGUGUCCCACACCAGCCUAGAGGAGCCUGUCCACUAACCCGACACCACCCGUUAUACCCAACCUCCCCUUGCAAGCCCAGCCUAUAUACCGCCGUCGUCAGUCUACCUUACGAAAGCACUAGUAGACAAAAAAUUUCCCCCACUAACACGUCAGGUCGAGGUGUAGCUAAUGAGGCGGUCACGAUGGGCUACAUUUUCCUAACAGGACCAUACGAAUGGUAAUAUGAAUAUAUUACCUGAAGGCGGAUUUAGCAGUAAAGCAACAAAAAUACAUGCCUUAACCACGCCCUGGGACGCGUACACACCGCCCGUCACCCUCUUCACACGGUUCUACUAACAAAUACAUAAUAAUUAAAUCACCAUCUAGAAGAGAUAAGUCGUA
rnacentral:rRNA from 1 species